rnacentral:rRNA from 1 species
AACGAACGCUGGCGGCAUGCCUAACACAUGCAAGUCGAACGAGACCUCCGGGUCUAGUGGCGCACGGCUGCGUAACGCGUGGUAACUAGCCCUUCGGUUCGGAUUAUUUCCCCGAAGGGGGCCCUACUACCGCCUAAUGUCUUCCGCACAAAGAUUAAUCGCCUUUGGGUGGGCCCUUGUUGGCUCGCCCGGUUGGUAGGGUAAAAGCCUACUAAGGCGACUUUUCAUAGCUGGUCUGAGAGGAUGAUCAGCCACUCUGAGAUUGGGACACGGCCCGGACUCCUACGGGAGGCGGCAGUGGGUGAUAUAGGACUGUGGGCGAAGGCAUGAUCCAGCAAUGCCGGGUGAGUGAUGAAGGCCUGAGGGUUGUAAAGCUCUUUUACCCGGGAUGAUAAUGACGGUACCGGGAGAAUAAGCUCCGGCUAACUCCGUG